UACGUAGGGUCCGAGCGUUGUCCGGAAUGACUGGGCGUAAAGGGCGCGUAGGCGGAUGGCACAGUCAGAUGUGAAAUUCCCGGGCUUAACCUGGGGGCUGCAUUUGAUACGUGUGAUCUAGAGUGAGGAAGAGGGUCGUGGAAUUCCCAGUGUAGAGGUGAAAUUCGUAGAUAUUGGGAAGAACACCGGUGGCGAAGGCGGCGACCUGGUCCUUGACUGACGCUGAGGCGCGAAAGCGUGGGGAGCAAACAGG
rnacentral:rRNA from 1 species